rnacentral:rRNA from 1 species
UACGUAGGGGGCAAGCGUUGUCCGGAAUCAUUGGGCGUAAAGCGCGUGUAGGCGGCUCAGUAAGUCCGCUCUGAAAGCCCGGGGCUUAACCCCGGGAGGCGGGUGGAUACUGCUGAGCUUGAGUCCGGAAGAGGCGAGUGGGAAUUCCCGGUGUAGCGGUGAAAUGACGCAGAUAUCAGGAGGAACACCGGUGGCGAAGGCGGUUCUCUGGGCCUGU